rnacentral:tRNA from 1 species
GCAUUCGUGUGUCAGUGGGAGAAUUCCCACCUCCCAUGCAGGAGACCUGGGUUCGAUUCCCAGCCAAUGCA